GACGAACGCUGGCGGCGUGCUUAACACAUGCAAGUCGAACGGAAAGGCCCUGUCUAUGUGGGGUGCUCGAGUGGCGAACGGGUGAGUAACACGUGAGUAACCUGCCCUUGACUUUGGGAUAACUUAAGGACACUGGGGCUAUUACCGGAUAGGAGCUCUUGCUGCAUGGUGGGGGUUGGAAAGUUUCGGUGGUUGGGGAUGGACUCGCGGCUUAUCAGCUUGUUGGUGGGGUAGUGGCUUACCAAGGCUUUGACGUGUAGCCGGCCUGAGAGGGUGACCGGCCACAUUAGGACUGAGAUACGACCCAGACUACUACGGUAGGCAGCAGUGGGGAAUAUUGCACAAGGGGCGGAGGCAAGAUGCAGCAACGCCGCGUGCGGGAUGACGUCCUGCGGGUAGUAAACCGAUUUCGCCUUUGACGAGGCGUGAGUGACGGUAAUGGGUAAAGAAGCACCGGCUAACUACGUG
rnacentral:rRNA from 1 species